rnacentral:misc_RNA from 1 species
UCCGGUUUGUCACCGGCAGUCACCUUAGAGUGCCCAACUAAAUGCUGGCAACUAAGAUCAAGGGUUGCGCUCGUUGCGGGACUUAACCCAACAUCUCACGACACGAGCUGACGACAGCCAUGCAGCACCUGGACCAGGGGUCCCCGAAGGAAAGACCUCAUCUCUGAGGCUGUCCCCUGUUGUCUAGCCCAGGUAAGGUUCUUCGCGUUGCGUCGAAUUGAACCACAUGCUCCACCGCUUGUGCGGGCCCCCGUCAAUUCCUUUGAGUUUCAGUCUUGCGGCCGUACUCCCCAGGCGGGGCACUUACUGCGUUAGCGACGGCACCGGGAGGGUCGCUCCCCCCGACGCCUAGUGCCCAUCGUUUACGGCGUGGACUAC